rnacentral:rRNA from 1 species
UACGUAGGUGGCAAGCGUUAUCCGGAUUUACUGGGUGUAAAGGGAGCGCAGACGGAACUGCAAGUCUGAUGUGAAAGCCCGGGGCUCAACCGCGGGACUGCAUUGGAAACUGUAGAUCUGGAGUGCCGGAGGGGCAAGCGGAAUUCCUGGUGUAGCGGUGAAAUGCGUAGAUAUCAGGAGGAACACCGGCGGCGAAGGCGGCUUGCUGGACGGCAACUGACGUUGAGGCUCGAAAGCGUGGGGAGCAAACAGGAUUAGAUACCCGGGGUAGUCCCU